UUUUUUUUAUGGGAAUCUCCUGAUAAGUUCAUAAUAAUAACAAGUGAAGACAUUUAAUUUAGCAAGUUAAGCCUCAAUAUCUGAUCAGUUAAGUUUCUGAGAUCCAUAUCUUAGCUCAUGUAGUUGUAGCCGCAAGUAAAUGUUGUUUGUUUUUCAGUACAAUAAUGUUGGCAUUUAGCUUAUUAUACACAGUAUACCUCAAGCUAUUGGCGUGUUUGUUUUAUUUGUUGAACUCUUUGAGAUCCAACUUAGUUCUAUCCACUUUCUUUGUCUCUCUUCUAGCUCAAGGCGAUUACUUAGGUUCAAUGCUUAUAGAUUUUGUACACAAGCUGCUUCAAAAGUGUCACAUGGACUUUAACUGCUCCCUUGAUCAUAACUUUGUUAUAAAGUCUAUUUGUAGGACCAUUGUAACAAGCCUAUGGGUUGAGCAGUGAAUUAUAUAAGCUUUGCCAGUUCAGCAGCAACAGAACUUAUGGUUACGUGAUAGCUCGAGGAUUAAAAGGGUACCUAGGAGAAUGCAUUAGGAUCAUUUCGGAUUUGUCUAGGUCUUGGUUCUCUGGGUAGUGUGUCGAGAGUUUAGGAUAUCCUCUAAUUAAUAGAGUCUCUAGUAUUGUUGUGGUUCUUUGGUGAAUCUAGUGAUGGAGUUUACCGGUUCCAUAAUUACCAGCUUCAUAUACUACCGAACCUACAAUGUCACAUGUAUCUAAAUGGUGUUGUUGUCUUUUCAGG
rnacentral:lncRNA from 1 species